UAUAGGGGAUUUUAAGUUUUACUUACAACGUUUGACCACUCGUCUUAUUUAAAAUUUUUUUGCAAAUAUAAAAAACAAAAAGUUGUGCUUAAAGUACUGUAGAUAAUAAACUAAGUCACAAAUAAAAUAAAUAAUAAUUUCAAAAUUUUUCGAAUAAGACGAGUGGUCAAACGUUGGAAGCGAAAACUCAAAAUCCCUUAUA
rfam:Oryza nivara chromosome 11, whole genome shotgun sequence.